rnacentral:rRNA from 1 species
UAUCCUACGGGGCGCAGCAGUGAGGGAUAUUGCACAAUGGGGGGAACCCUGAUGCAGCGACGCCGCGUGGGUGAAGAAGUAUUUCGGUAUGUAAAGCCCUAUCGGCAGGGAAGAAAUUGGACGGUACCUGACUAAGAAGCCCCGGCUAACUAAGUGCCAGCAGCCGCGGUAAUACGCAGGGGGCAAGCGUUAUCCGGAUUCACUGGGUGUAAAGGGAGCGUAGACGGCCAUGCAAGACUGGAGCGAAAGCCCGGGGCCCAACCCCGGGACUGCUCUGGGAACUG